rnacentral:rRNA from 1 species
UAGCGAAGGGGGCUAGCGUUGUUCGGAUUUACUGGGCGUAAAGCGCACGUAGGCGGAUCGGUUAAGUCGGGGGUGAAAUCCUGGAGCUCAACUCCAGAACUGCCUUCGAUACUGGCGAUCUUGAGUCCGGAAGAGGUGAGUGGAACUCCUAGUGUAGAGGUGGAAUUCGUAGAUAUUAGGAAGAACACCAGUGGCGAAGGCGGCUCACUGGUCCGGUACUGACGCUGAGGUGCGAAAGGCGUGGGGGAGCAAACAAGG